AAAAAAAAAAAAAAAAAAGAAAAGAAAAGAAAAAAAAAAGAAUACCACAAGGAGAGAGGGCACUGCAGCAGGUCCUCUUGCUUUUGCAAAGGGAGUGGCAUUGGAUCAUCAGGGACGAGGCUCCAAACCAUGCCAGUUGAAUUUCCCAUGAGGGAGAGGAAAGGAAGGAGGAUCAUGGCCUCCCUCCCCCAGCCCUUCCCGGGCUCCUUUGAGCCUACAGUUUGCAGCCACAUCGCUUACCGUGCAGGCUGAGGGAUUCCAGCCCACCCCUGCCUUCCGUGUGGAUAUGUGUUUGGAUCUCAGGUCUCAAUGCAUGAAAAACCGAAGCACAGCUUUGCAAAGCCCAUUAGAAAAAAAACAAAGUGUGUGCUUUUAUUCUUUCUGGAAUAUUGCCUAUCAUUGAUGUGAGGCCAUUAGGCACAGCUGGGGGCCCCACGGCAGGGACGGGUGAAGUGGAACCAGAGACCUGAGGGGCUUCUUCCGCAGGCUCCUUGUAGACCUGGGACGGGGCAUGUGGUUCACCGGUGUCCCUGGCUGCGUGCCCCCAGCUGCUGGGGAGGAGACCAACAGUGGUUGAUUGUGUUCCUCUCAGGGGUGCUAUCCAAGGGUACAUUAUUCAAGUAUUUUGGAAUCUUGGCAGAAAAGAGAAGAAAUUUAAGGUGAGAAUUACUGUUGUCAGUGGCGUAACAUUAUAAUCAACACUCCCAGAGAGCCAAUGCUGUGUUCAGCUUUAUCGUCCAGAAGUCUGUUUGAUAUCUUGACAGCUGGGAACCUUUAGCUGAUGGCCAAAGGGUGGGAGGGAGAGCAGGUGGACGAUGGCCUGUGUUUGAUGGGGGAGCCUGUUACCCUUUUCCUCACUGUUAAAGCCUUGUGAUGGUGUCUGGGACAACUUUACGGGAUGAUUAAAGGCCAUCUUCCAGCGGGUACAUUUUUCUUUCUCACCGGCAGAUCUCAUCCUAGGAUAGUUGAGAACGAUACACCUAGAAUCUGCCUGCUUUUAACUCUAACAGCAUCCUUGGGCCACGGACGGGGGGCUUUCUGCAGAUCUGCCCUUUGUGUUUGAAAAUACAUCUGCCUGUGUGUGUGCGUUGGCAGCGUUGCCAUAACCAGCAUUCACUUUUCUGACUUGCCCAGGCUGCAGCAUGCAAGAUGAGUGUUGCAUGGGUACCUCCCCGCCUCUUAGACUUUUAAAAUAGAGCCAUCUCUCCCGAACAGACGGGCACAACUAAGACAGGUCACUGAUAACAGUAUCAGUAUCUACAUGCUAAGACACAGCUCGCCCCAUUUCCCACGGGGUUCUUUCCUUGGUACAAGUCACCCAGGAGACUGACUUUGGGAAAAGUAAUUUCUCCCCCUUCUGGGUAUGUUUUGCUCAAAACCUAAGAAGAAAACUCACGAGACCAGACUAGGAAAAUUUCAGCCCCCAAGGAUAAUUUUUCAGAAAGUAAUGAGCACUAGAAAAUGAGGGCUAUAAAGGAAGUCUUUAGGUAAUAAUCGUAACUAUAAUGUUCAUCACUUUGAAGUGCAUUAAUAUACACUAAAAUUACAGAAAAUAUUAAGUCUGCUGCAGGGGAAGGGGGCGUGCCUUGGAGCUUGUGGCUAAACCUCCUGGACCAGCUCGGUUCUCCGGGCCAUAGCUGGGGCUCUGUGGCCCCUGGCCCGUCCCUGCCCUCACAGAGACACGCGCCCUAAGAGAGGAUCCUGUGGCCCUAGCUGGGGCCCAGUUGCAGACACUGUGAAGGCGGGAUGGAGAAGCAGUAUCCCCCGCAGCGGGCUCCUUCUGGGGCUGUGAUGUUUUAUAGCCUGGCAAGGGAAUGCCAAGACUCCCUAAGGGCCUGGCUCACUUUAUCAGGGUCCUGCUGCUUGAGAGCGGGAGCCUGGGAGGCGAGGUGUGUAGAUGCCCUAGACGUGGCCCCUGGAGGCUGCAGUCAGGCUGAGGCAUUCAUUCCUCCGCAGUGGCCCCGGGGUGGGGGAGCAGCCGGAGCACGGCUGUGGCGGCCGCAUGCUUUCUUCUGCUGCCUGGCUCUCUCUGUGCCCCUCCUGACCCCUGAGCCUCUGCCUCUCCUUCAUUCCCCUUCCUCACUCCCCUCUUUCACCUUCAGAGCUAGCGGACUUCUCCAGGCUGCACGUAGGCGAGGGGCUGGCAAUUGGAGGUCAAGCAGGCUGAGCUUGGAGCAGCAGGAGGAAAGAUUUACGGUCCUCCCUGCCCGGCUUGAUGGACAAUUAAAGCUGCGCACGGUUGGAGGAGAGCAGUGUCGUGAAGAGUCAGGAUGGUCAGAAUAAAUCAGUCACCUCCACUUAGACGGCUGAGCUAGACUGCUUCCCCUGGGGUGUGGAUUUGAAGGUUCCGGAAUGGGCUGUUCAAAGGUUUGGCAUACUCUGAGCUCCAUCAGAGUCAGAGCCUGAAGACCCUGGGGGUCUCCUCACAAAUGGGGCGUGUGCUGUAGGGAAUUAAGGGAAAAUUCUGGAUAAUGUGUUUAGAGGGCAUUUUGUCUCCAGGGUACCUGGCAUCUGCAAGAGUCUCAAACCUGAAUGUUUGGGAGUCAGGAUAGUGGACCCCCACCUGCAAGCAGAGCGUGUGCACGCAUGUGCUUGUGUAUGCUUGUGCGCAUGUAUGUGUGCACAGGUGUGUGCAUAUUAGUGCACACGUGUGCACAUGUGUAGAUUGUACAUGCAUGUGCCUGUGUGUAGAGUGUGCACACAGGCAUGCAUGUGCAUCCUGUAUGUGUCCAUGUGUGUGUAUGUAUGUGCACAUGCACAAGUGUGUUUCUGCAUUUGUAUGUGUACCCACAUGUACCUGUGUGCAUGCAUGAGCAUAUGUGUGCCGUACAUGUGUGAGCACAUGUGUGUGUCGUGUGUGGGUACUAGUGCUUGCUUCUUGGACAUCGCAGGCUCCACUUGUGUCUUUAAACACACACAUCCCUCUGCAAGGCUGCCGGGAGCUGGGCUUCUGAGCAUCCGCCAAGCCCUGCGGCCGUCCUUCUUCAUUUGUUCUGUGUGUUAUUUCAGUACCUUGAAGACUCUGGCAAUUUCCUCAAGGAAACUUUGUCUUUGUGGAAAUGAGAUGCCAGCACUCCUCGGCCCUCCCACUGGCUAAUUGAUGAUAUGAUCCCGCGUGGGAGACUUGCCAUUCCUGGAAAUGCUCUUUAUUUCGUGGGCCCCCCCGCCCCCUGCCCGCCAUCGUCUGAUUUCUACGAGCUGCUGCACGUGAGGUGCAGGGCUGGGCGUUUGCUGUGACUCAGCCCAUGUGCCAGGCCUUUCAUUAACUUGGAUACUACAAUUAUGUGCGCCAAGAGACUGCGAGGGCCAUUUAGGAUUUUUCUCCCUUUAAGAAAAUAUUCCUUUUUCCCCAGCCAGGUAGCCCAGCCCUUUGCCUCUGCAGCUGUGGCCCAAGCCGUGUGCUGGCCCCAAGCGCUUCUCAGCUCUCCUGGCACCGACCUGAAACAAACUCUUGCUGGGGGGCUGGGGCUCUGCCAUGGUUCUGUCGGAGGUGUGCAGCAGGUGGUCAAGGCAGCCUGCCCUUGGGAGCCACAGGAUGUGGCCUGCUGUGGCGGCUUCACAGUCACGGUGUGAAUAGCAGCAUGCGUGCUUUUGUGCCUGUGUGAGCACACACACACACCCCAUCGGCACACGCGAGGAUGACCUUUGGCACAGUACACCUGCUGCUGUGGCCUGCACAGAGAAGGGCUGACCCCAGGACAGCGGCUCCCAUUCGCCUCCAUCAAGGCCAGCUGGACCCUUCACGGGGCCCUGGGAAUUUCCGAGUGUGGGCUGUGGGGUCAUGUCAUGUGGGGAUGGAGUUGCACUGGUCUCCUGCACACACGCACGCUGGCCAGCAUAUCCGUAUGCUCGCAGGGGUAGCCUGACCCUCUUCCUCCACUUAGGAGACGUAUGCAUGGAAACGUGCCCCUGUGGGUGUCUUGGGAUGAAUAUUUGGGGUCCUGGGGGGUCUGGAUUGCAGAGUAACUGGGUACUGUAAGAGUUCCUCUAAAUGUCGGGGCUCUUGGGGAGGGGGAGGCAUGCAGCACUUCUGUGGGUGGGUGGAAGGUUGAGGAGGGGCCACCCUGGCUCAAGGUCACCCCACGGGGAGCAACCUGAUCUGAGGACAGACCUGCCCGGGACUCUGGGACUGAGAUGAGACACUUGCUUCCCCCUUCAAAGGUCGUGAGAUUCUGGGGGCACAGGCUGCCUUCCAUAUGGUGCCCACAAAGCUCAUUAAAAGCACCAUUCAGAGGCCUUAUCUCCAAAAGGAAGGCAAGAGUCCAACCCACCUAAGCACCAAAUAACAACUCAACAACUCAAAAACUUAUUUUUUUAAACUUCCUUGAGUUGCCAUGGUUACUUGCACGGUCCUUGCGUCUCUGUUGCUCUACGUGGAGCUGCUUGGAGGAGGAAUUAAAACCUCCAGGGUUCACCCCUUGGAAGGGCCUGUUUGUGCUCCUGUGUGGAGGAAAAGAGCUGGAGAAGGUAGGGAUCUUCCAGGACCAUGGGAUGUGAUUUUCCAACAUUGCACUUCUGAGAUGCUGGAGACGGAAUAUGUCUCCCACGCUAAAAUAAUUAUAGCCAGGAGAACAGAGAAUACAUCAUUCUAAGUUAAGGUCCUUAACAACGAGGAGGGUGUGUGCGCGUGUGCAUGUGUGUGAGUGUAUGCGCAUGUGCGUGUGUGUACACGUGUGCGCGCAUAUGUGUGCACAAGAGCGUGUGCGCGUGCACGUGUGUGUGUAUGUGCGUGUAUGCGUGUGCACGGUCGUCUCUGCAUUGCCACCAACUUCCUCCUGGAGUGCUCUUUUGUACUGGCCACGUGUGUAAAGGCAGUGGCAGCUGAGGCCCCUGUACCUGUUGGCCGGCCUCCAGCAGGCAGUGCUUCCUGCUCCUGUGGCUUGUGCCCAGGCAAUGCUACUGAGGUGCAGAUAUCUGCAGGGGGAUUUUGGGGAGAAUUGCUAGUGAGGGAUGGGAAAGAGGGUGGGUCAAGGAGGAAUAAAGAAGCCAAGACUCCUUCUGACAAGGCUCCUCUCUGCUCUUCAGACUGUGGGGUUCCAUCCUCCUACCUGCCAUGGCUCCAUGGGGAGUCCCAGGGCCCAGAUGUGGCCCAUGCAGCCCAAAAAUUAGCUGCAAAGAGGAGAGUCCAUGCUGUGGGCCAGCGGUUUGCCCUAAAUGCCCCCUGCCUGGGGUCCGAGUGUUUCUCCCCCAUGGGAUGGACAGACUGGCAGGUCAUUUCCACUUUGGGGGCCCUGCAGCCCCAGUGGCUUUUGGGGGUGUCUGCUCCCUGCUGGCCACAGGGAGAAGCUGUCCUCCCUCUCUCCUGGGAAGGCAGGAGCCAACCCCUGCCUACAGGGGGCACUUAGUAGGUGACUGUGGAUGCAGAGGCUGAAAUCAGGUGGUACCUUCUAAGUGUCAGGCUGUAGUGACCGGUGAGGAGGGCCUUCCCAGACCCUUCUUGUCCCAAGUGGUCUCAACCUUUCCCUCUGUUUCCCGCCUCACUAGGCCAUCCCUUCCUCCUGUCAGGCGGGGAGAACUACUCCCCAGCGCUGGUGCUGGGCCACAGGGCCACACACAGGAUGACGGCAGAGGGCUCAUUCUUGGCCAGGGCUCUUGUUUUCCCUCGUGCCUCCUCUUUCUGCCCCGGGUGGGGGCGGGCAGAAAGCCCUUCUACAAGUCUGCAGGAGGACUGUGUCUGUCUUGCCAUCUUACCCGGCCAGCCCUCUCUCAUUCCCAAUGCAAACCGGAGUCCCUGGAGCACAGCUGGGCUGGCAAGACCAGAUUCCCCAAUUUGAGGCCAGUCUUGCUUUUCCAUGGCCGGGAUAUUUUAGCAGCAAGACAGGAGGUGAUCUCAGGCUCCUGCAUUGCCUUUUUGGCAAACUCAUGAGCUCGCAGUGUGAGGACAGGUGCUUUCUCCAGGAAGCAUUUGGGGUGAAUGUGUGCGGCAGCCAGGGGUGUCUCCCUCAUGAAGUCCUUUCUUAUGUGUGGCCAGCAGGAGGGAGGCCGAGGCCAGGGGUGACCCCAGCAUUUCUCUUGCAGAGUCCUAGGAGUGGCUUGGCUCAUUAAGUAGAUGGUGAAGGCCGAUGGGAAGGUUUUGGAUCCUUCUAUCAACACGGGACAUAGCGAAGCCAUGGGUUAUCACUGGGUGUAUCUAAAGCGGUGAGCAAGUGGGACGUACUGACGUAGACAGGCACACAGAGGACAUGAGAAGCAUCCACAAAGCCUUCCUCUGGGCCUGAAGUCAGCACCUGCUUUCCAUAGCACUUUCUGGGAGCUGUAAUCAGCACUGAGAAGGAAGAGCAAAAAAUCACAGAUCCUGGUGGGCGUCUGCAGCUCCGUCUCCCGUGUUGGGCUGUAAGUGCUUUGCGGGCAGGGGCUGCAGCUGAUCCACAUCUCCCCAGAGCACCCAGCAUGGCUCUCCGCUCAUGGUCCGUUCUCCGUCAACAUUUGUUGAAUUCUGACAGCUGGCUGGGGGGCAGGGGUCUUUGUGGCUCAUUAGCUCUGUGGCCAGGCUGGGCCCACGGUGGGUGGCCCUGGUGGGUUUCCGUGCCUUGGUUGUUUCUGCCUCUAGAGGCUCCACUGAGAAGGGGUAGGAGGGUGUGCCAGAGGCCCUGGUCCACCCCUGGCUGGUGCUAGGCACACUCUCUCCCUGGUAAUCAGAGAGCCCCAGGGCCUCGGGGCAGAGGGCUGUCAGAGGGACAAGGACCCCGGUGAUCUGCAGGACAGUCAUUGUGGUUUCUGGCCCAGAGAGGAAAUGGGCCCUGGUUCUGCCCUGCGGGUUCAGUGGGGCUGUGCAUCAGCCCCAGGAGCUUCCUCCCCUCCUUCCCUGGAAGUGAACCUUGGAGCUUGUGCGAUUGUUUCCCAGAACCAGAGUCAGCUGCCAAAUAGAGCAGACUGCCUCCGAAAGGGGGGUCUCAGAUGUCUCUUUGAGCCACCCCUCUUUCCUGGGCUUGGAGUGAGGAGUAGAUGAGAGGGAGGGAAAAGUACCAGGGAGGUUCUGGAUUGCUCUAGAAGAUGCCAGAUAAUUCUGGAAGAUAUCCUGAGACUCCUCCAGAUGUGUGACCCUGGGGCCAGCUGCAUCCUUCGGAGCGUAAUGUACCCCGUCCACAGGGGAGUACACUCGUGAUUAUUGAUGCUAAUGGAAAACAGAAGUGGAAUGGAUAAUUCAAGAUGGCAGAUGAAUCAAUAUUAUUUAUAUUUAGCCUGUGAAUGCGCUGCAUAUUUCUCCGCUGGCAGAUUGGGCUUCACAAUUAUGUUUUGCAGAAUCCAAGAAUUUGCUGCCCACGGGCCAAGGGCUGCCACCUUGCUCUUCCUCUAGGAGGGUUUUUGGAAAGCAUAGGAGCCCCUCGUGACUUGGCGGCCGGCUUAGAGGGAGGCGCCAGGUCCGUCCUCCCCUCUGCGCGGCUGGCAUGCCACUUCCCACAGGUCUCCCCGCUGCUAACACACUCCCUGCAGCCGGGGAUUGGUUAAAAGCGUUAAAGAGAGAAUGGCCUAUUCAUACACACGGUGGGUUUUAGGCAGCUGCUUUUCAUGGAUGUGGAAAGAGAUCCACAGUCCAUUUUAGUGGAAAGGAAAGAUGGCAGAGCCGUCAGUGUGAUUUAAUCCUAAAGCAUGUGGACCUGGUGCACUGUCUUGUCUUCAUCUGGUAUUCUCAGUGCUUAGCCCAGUGCCUGGCACAAAGCAGGUGCCCAGCGAGCGGUUGCUGACUGAGCAUGUUCUUCGCUGGGGCGCUGUGGGGCUCUGUGGCGGGAUCGGGCUCCUGGUCUGGGGACCCAAGUCUGCUGCUCCAGGGAGCUGCGUGUCUGCGCGCCGGUUUCUUUCUGGUGAGCUUGACCUUGCACCUUGGUGGCCCCAUUACGGUCAGCCUCGGCACACCUGGAAAGUGGCUCCUUUCUCUCAAUGCCGAUGGCUCUCCAGGCGGGGGUGGGGGUCAUUCAUCUUGUUACUGCAAGGGUGAGAUGGGGAGCGUCAUCCCAGGGAGUGGGGUCAGCGUCUCCUGGGGGUGUGUCCUGAGGACUCCGAUCUUGGUCAGCACUUGUGCCAAACAUGGUCCUGUCUGGUCUCCUCUUUGAGGACCCAGUAAAUGCAAACCUUCUGGCCCUCUGUGUCACACCCACAGGGGAUGAAGGAUAAGAGGAACCACAUGUGAAAACUCAGAAAUUGCCAGUGGAGGCUUCUGAGGGUGGCUUCUGGGGUGUGCCGAGGGUGGGGAAGCGCUGGGUGGGUGCUUCCUUGCAUGUUCAGAGGUGUCCCUGGAAGGCCUCACAGCUGCCUACACCCCUGGACCCUGGACGCCAGAACCUUAGUGUGGGCGUGGUGCUCUUUGACAUCCAAGUUUGAAAAGAUGGGCUCUGAUUUGUAAGGUGCCUUAUGUUAGACGUCACAUUGAUUUACAUCUCUAUAUUUAAAAAAUUGGCCCUACUCACACUGCCCUCAAGGAAGAGUGCUGUUGGGUCCUGCGGUCCCAGGGACAGGAACAAGAACCUCGAGGUGCUGGAUUUGUGUGACUCAAGUCCUCCCUGCGCAGGGCCCGGGCUGCACAGCCGGCUUUAGGCCCAGGUGGCCCUGGAGUGGACAGCUUCUGAAGUCAGCAUGUGGGAGGCAGGGCCUGGAGGGGGUUGGCUGGUGGUGUGAAUAGGAGCAUCUGGGGACAGCAAGCUAUUUCCGUCUCUUUCCUUGCUGUGGCCUGGGUGCCUCCAGGUGCCUCCAGAGGGUCAGGGCUAUGUCUUCCACUUCUUGUUUGUCCCUGCUGCCCUGCAGAGUGCCAUUUCUACAGCUCCAUAUGCAGAAUCUUCUAGAAGAAAGACCUUGUUUCUGGACUAACCCCUCAGUCUUAAAAGCUUCCAAGGGUCUUAAAGAACAUUCCAGCGCCAUCUCAGCCCUUAGUUCUGAGACCCUUCUACUUCCGGUGGAGAAGGGGGGUCAGGAGACCACCUCUACCCUCUCUGGCACAUAGUAAGUGCUUAAUCAAUGUUGCGAGAAUGCAGGAGGGACUGUUGCUCUGUCCCGAUGAGUCAGACAGAGGCAGGUUCAUCUUCCUCAAUUGCGUGCUUCCUCUGUAUCCCCUUGAACCUAAAAACAGCUAUCUCAGGAAGAGGGAGGACAGAGAGUUUGACUGAUGGAUUCCCCAGGUGCCCCAACCCUUUGGUACAAGUGCCUCCCCACCCAGCAAGUGCCAGCAGGUUUUGGUUUCUGUCCUGGAGCCCUCUGGUGCCAUACUCUCUCAAUUUCCUCUCCUGGCCCUUGGGAGCAGGGAGAACAGACGUUGGGCCGCCGCAGAUGACCGACUGCCCGAGGCCGGGACCUGAACUGGUGCCCAGUGUGCCCAUCGGGUUCUGUUGCUCCCGGACCCCUCUUGUCGUUUUCAAAAUCAAGAUACAGAAAAGAAAACUAACAUGUGUAGGAGCCACAACCACAUCACAAAGUUAUCUAAAGUGAGCAGGCCACUCUGGUUCUCAGAAAUUAGAUUAUUUUAGAGUUUCAUUGAAUUAAGAAAGGAGUCCUCCCUCAGUGUUCCCAGCUCUCUGCCCCUUCCUCUGGUAGCCCCUCUCUCCAUGCCCACCCUCCCGUGGCCGAUGAGAGAUUUUCUGGCGGUGUCAAGGCAAUGUGACCUGGUUCUGUAAUAAGGAAGAGGCUUAUUAGAAUGAAGGCCUAACAGCGUUAAAAAAGCAAUCUUUGCAAGAUUAAGGCCACAAGGGAAUUGUAAAUUCUCAGCAAAGACCUCAUUUAAGGAUUGGAAUAAAAACUCGGCAUGCGUGUACAGGCGUGCACACAUGACGCGCCCUCCAGAAGCAGACUUAGUUUACAAAAAAAGAGCUGGGAGAAGGAGGGAGGAUUGGGAGCUGCCAGGGAAGGGCAGGUGGUGUCCGUCCUGGUGGGAUGUGGGGUCUCCUGGGGGUGUCUGCCUGCCGAGAGUAGGCUGUGGACACACGUGUUCCUCUCUCAUGGGUUUUCUCUGCACCUGCACCCCUCCCUGGAGCAGCUGCCGCCCACCUCUGUCCCCCGAGAGUGGCAAGAGCCCAGUGGGGGCUGCCUUCCCUGACCCCCACCUCCGAUCACUCAUGCUUUUCACCUGG